UACAGAGGUCUCAAGCGUUGUUCGGAUUCACUGGGCGUAAAGGGCGCGUAGGUGGCGGCCCAAGUCCGUGGUGAAAGCUCGCCGCUUAACGGCGAGUCGGCCACGGAGACUGGGUGGCUCGAGCACUGUAGGGGCAGAUGGAAUUCCGGGUGUAGCGGUGGAAUGCGUAGAGAUCCGGAAGAACACCAGUGGCGGAGGCGGUCUGCUGGGCAGUUGCUGACACUGAGGCGCGACAGCGUGGGGAGCAAACAGG
rnacentral:rRNA from 1 species